AUUGAACGCUGGCGGCAGGCCUAACACAUGCAAGUCGAGCGAGCGGCGGACGGGUGAGUAAUGUCUGGGAAACUGCCUGAUGGAGGGGGAUAACUACUGGAAACGGUAGCUAAUACCGCAUACCAUCAGAUGUGCCACGAUGGGAGUAGCGAGUAGGUGGGGUAACGGCUCCCCUAGGCGACGAUCCCUAGCUGGGCUGAGAGGAUGACCAGCCACACUGGAACUGAGAAACGGUCCAGACUCCUACGGGAGGCAGCAGUGGGGAAUAUUGCACAAUGGGCGAAAGCCGGAUGCAGCCAUGCCGCGUGUGUGAAGAAGGCCUUCGGGUUGUAAAGCACUGUCAGCGGGAAGGCGUUACCCGCAGAAGAAGCACCGGCUAACUCCGUGCCAGCAGCCGCGGUAAUAC
rnacentral:rRNA from 1 species